AAGCGUGGGGAGCAAACAGGAUUAGAUACCCUGUUAGUCCACGCCCUAAACGAUGAACACUAGUCGUCGGGAUGCUAGUCAUCUCGGUGAUGCACUUAACAGAUUAAGUGUUCCGCCUGGGGAGUACGGUCGCAAGAUUAAAACUCAAAGGAAUAGACGGGGACCCGCACAAGUGGUGGAGCAUGUGGUUUAAUUCGAAGAUACGCGAAGAACCUUACCUAGCCUUGACAUUGAUUGAACCUGCCAGAGAUGGCGGGGUGCCCUUCGGGGAACAUGAAAACAGGUGCUGCACGGCUGUCGUCAGCUCGUGUCGUGAGAUGUUGGGUUAAGUCCCGCAACGAGCGCAACCCUCGUCCUUAGUUGCUAGCAGGUUAAGCUGAGCACUCUAAGGAGACUGCCUUCGUAAGGAGGAGGAAGGUGAGGACGACGUCAAGUCAUCAUGGCCCUUAUGGCUAGGGCUACGCACGUGCUACAAUGGGGCGUACAGAGUGUUGCGAUACCGCGAGGUGGAGCUAAUCACUUAAAGCGUCUCUCAGUUCGGAUUGGAGUCUGCAACUCGACUCCAUGAAGCUGGAAUCACUAGUAAUCGUAGAUCAGCAAUGCUACGGUGAAUACGUUCCCGGGUCUUGUACUCACCGCCCGUCACACCAUGGGAGUUGAUUUCACCCGAAAUCGGGAAGCGAACCUUCGGGGCGCUACCGCUUACGGUGGAAUUAGCGACUGGGGUGAAGUCGUAACAAGGUA
rnacentral:rRNA from 1 species